UUUAAGAGUGAAGAAAACAUGAACCACUUCAGGAGAGGUUGCUCUAUUAAAAUGCCUCCAAAUGAACAACGGCCCCAGUGCUGCACAUCUCUCUGGACUCAGACGGCACACAAGCUUUGCUGGCUGGCUCUCCCCAACAAGUGAGCUGAGCCUUCUCCCAGACAGACUUCGAAUGACUGGAGAGGACAAGAAAAGGGCCCCUCUGCUCGACUGAGGCCACGCAGAGGUUUCCCCUUCACACCGGAGCAGACGCUCAGAGAUGGAUGAGAGACAGCAGAUGGGGCGCCUGCCUGACACGAAGAGGACCAAGCAGGAAAUGCAACGCAAGAGUUCAACAAAAUCGCUGCUGUCAGCCAGCCAAAGAAAGCGACUAUUCUGUCAUCUUAUUGAACACGAAUCCCAGUCAACAUGUCGUUGAAGGCGAAGUUUGCAGGUUGAUGCAUUAUGUUUUCUCCGCUCUCACUAGUCUGUAUAUGAGAGACUCACAUUGUUGAGGUUUAGUGUUUUGAUGCUCUCACAGCAAGGCAGAAAAGCUGGGCGAAUUUGGCGCAGGUUGCCGAGAGGCUCAGGCGACUUCCAGGAAGUUGUUAAUUUGUCCAUCUGUAGGCUUGAAUUUAGGAUGCAUCAUGUCAUGGUGUCAGAUGACAGCACUGGCAUUGCUUUUCCUGUUGAGGAGGUGAGGGAAGAGAAAAGCAGCCGCCGAAAGGCUCGAGAACCCAAGACGCAUUGGCUUGAAAUUUGUUUAUUAUCCUUAAGACGCUGCAGUAUAUUUACACAGCACUCUGCUCAAGUAGCCAUGAAAGGCUUAUUCUUCUACAGUGCAAAGUUAUUUUAAUGAGAGGCCAAGACAUGUUUUGGAGUUUUCAUCAGAGUGAUGACCUUGGACUGUUGCUUGAACAGAGGCCUUGACUUUACAGCAAUCCCUCAUUCUGAGCAAGCAUGUGGCGACAGUAGAAAAUAACAGCCUUCUUUUAGCAGGAGGAAGCCUUCGGCAGAAAAAAAAAAGCUCUUUGCGAGCAGCCAUCUGCCGCGAGCACAACAGAGCAGAUGCAUCAGAAAUAUUUCAAAUUAGCACUUAUAAAGGAAUACCUUGUAUUUUUGUAAACAGCAUACAGAGUUAACCCAAUAAAUAGAUUUAUCGAGGAGAGAAAGGCAGCUAUAAACAGAUAAGUCUUGGUCCAGUCGUGCAAUCUGUUUGACAGUGAAUGACUUUGUUCAGGAGAAAGGUUAAAGUCGGAUCAAUGUGGCAAGAUAAAUACAUGAACUAAAAGCUAUUAGAACCUGUUGGACACUCAAGGACACUCUCGCUUUUUAUGCAAAACUACAUUUCAACAUACAGGGAAAGUGUUGAUUUUUUUACCGCAAGAUUCUCAUACUGGCUCAUGCCUGCUGCACCCAGUAACUUUAACCAUCAGUUUGAUGCACAGCACAGAUCUGUUGCGUUCAAAAGCAAAGUGUAGCACCUGGUAUCAUGUGACGCAUCGUUGAGGAUAUAGGUUUUGUUCGCCAACAGUGGUUCAUCUCAGGCGAAUGAGAAUGACAUUAUACUUCAUGCAUGUAAUGCAGGUAGGAGUAAAUAUAGUCUGUGCAGGCAGUGUACUGUUAAACUUUUCUUACUUUUUAAUUACUUUUCUCUGAGAGGUUAAUUAACAGUAAAUCACACUGUGUGCAGGUAGAUACAAAAGCACUAUGUUUACUUUCGUAGCUUUGUUUUUGUUGGUAAAUAUACUGUCAUUGUCAAAAGAAAUAAACUUUCUUAUGUUAUCCUAUG